AUUUGAUUUUAGAAUUUAAAAUUUGAUUUUAGAAUCUAAAAUUUAUGUUUGUGCAUGAGGAUUUUGGUUAUGAAAAAAAUCAUAAUUUAGGUCAUAUAAUAGGAUUGCAUCUAAGAUUUUUGAUUUGAGUCAUAUGGGUCUAAUUCGAUUAAGUAAUUGAUCAAACCGAGUCAAGUAUUGAUUAAGGUCAUAUCAAUUAAAUUAAAUGAUCAUACAAUUAUUGUUGAUCAAAUUGAUUGAGUCCCGUAUGUAGAAUCGAUUCAUCUAAAGACCUAAUUUGGCUCG
rnacentral:lncRNA from 1 species